rnacentral:rRNA from 1 species
AUUGAACGCUGGCGGCAUGCUUAACACCUGCAAGUCGAACGAGUGGCGGACGGGUGCGUAAUGCUUGGGAAUCUGGCUUAUGGGGGGGGAUAACUACUGGAAACUGUAGCUAAUACCGCGUACCAUUGGCAGAGCCCAAGUGGGAUUAGGUAGUUGGUGGGGUAACGGCUCACCAAGCCGACGAUCCCUAGAUGGUCUGAGAGGACGACCAGCAACAUUGGGACUGAGACACGGCCAAGACUCCUACGGGAGGAAGCAGUGGGAAAGUUUGAACAAUGGGCGAAAGCCUGAUGCAGCCAUGCCGGGUGUAUGAUGAAGGCCGUAGGUUUGUAAAGUACUUGCAGCGGGGAGGCGUUACCCGCAGAAGAAGCACCGGCUAACUACGUGCCAGCAGCCGCGGUAAUUC